rnacentral:lncRNA from 1 species
ACAGUGUUGAUCUUGACAUUGUCAUAGAUGAUUUUGCAUCAACAAAUGCACGAAAGUCUCGCUUCUCAUGAUUAAUGGAGGUUUGCUAGGAUGCUAUUUCUAUAUUCUUUUCGUGCAUUGUAGCUUCUAUGAUACUUGAGUUUGAACAAAGACAUGAAAAAUAUCAGAUAUUUGAUUCUAAGGAAAUAUAACUACUCUAUAUGACUUCAUAAUAUAUGUAAUUGUUCGUGUAUCGAUCGAAGAAAAAAAUCUUGGUUGGGC